rnacentral:lncRNA from 1 species
AGAAGGAAGAUAGUGCGCACGUGGGGGAUUUCAUCUGGAAUCCCAGCUUCUCAGUGUGAGUUUAGGGCCAGGAGGUGGAGCACAGACGGGGCCUGUGCCCUGGCCCCCAAGCUCUUUCUGGGGUCCUGGAGUGAGUUUCUGAGAGCCAUAUUGGGUGGUCCUGGGAGGCAGGCUGGCUUGCCUCGUGUUUGUGAGAGUUUUGAGGAGGGGCAUUUGGCCUGUUAGUGGGUGAUGGCAGCAGCCGUUCUGAGAAUAGAGUGUCCUGCAAAGACAAAAUCAGCAGCCCUAGAAUCUUCUAGAGAAGAAUCCCUGAGCACGCUGCCCUUCUGGUGAUUUUUACAGUGCAUCAUCGUCCUCCACACAGUGGCUGGCAAGCCGGACGUGCCCAAUGACUGCUGGUUAUUAUGACUACUGGGACUAUUAUCCGCUCAGCUGGGAAAGAACAUCUGUCCUCACCUCUCAUUUCCUCCCUCUCCAUCUCCCGGGAUGAUUCAGAUUUCUGGAGGCCGAGAAGUUCAAGAUCAAGAUGGCAGCAGGUUAGGCGUCUGGUGGAGGCCCACCACUUCCUGGUUCAGAGAUGGCUGUCUUCUCCUUAUAUCCUCAUGUGACGGAAAGCAGAGAGAAGCACACUCUCUCAGGACUCUUAUAAGAGCAGUAAUCCCGUUCAUGAGGGGUCAACCUUCAUGACCUCAUCUAACUCUAAUCACCUC